rnacentral:rRNA from 1 species
UACAUGGGGUGCAAACGUUGCUCGGAAUUAUUGGGCGUAAAGCGCACGUAGGCGGUUCGUUAAGUCGGAUGUGAAAGCCCUCGGCUCAACUGAGGAAGUGCACCCGAAACUGGCGAGCUUGAGUACGAAAGAGGAUCGCGGAAUUCCCGGUGUAGAGGUGAAAUUCGUAGAUAUCGGGAGGAACACCGGUGGCGAAGGCGGCGAUCUGGGUCGAUACUGACGCAUGAGGUGCGAAAGCGUGGGGAGCAAACAGG